rnacentral:tRNA from 1 species
GGGAUCUUAAUUUAAUUGAAAAAUAUAUGAUUUGCAUUCGUAAAAUUUAGAUUCUAU